GUGGGGAAUCUUGCGCAAUGGGCGAAAGCCUGACGCAGCAACGCCGCGUGGGGGAUGAAGGCUCUCGGGUUGUAAACCCCUUUCAGCAGGGACGAAUCAAGACGGUACCUGCAGAAGAAGCCCCGGCUAACUACGUGCCAGCAGCCGCGGUAACACGUAGGGGGCAAGCGUUGUCCGGAUUUAUUGGGCGUAAAGAGCUCGUAGGUGGCUGAGUAAGUCGGAUGUCAAAUCCCCAGGCUCAACCUGGGAUCCCAUCCGAUACUGCUCUGGCUAGAGUCCGGUAGGGGAGCGUGGAAUUCCUGGUGUAGCGGUGAAAUGCGCAGAUAUCAGGAGGAACACCAGCGGCGAAGGCGGCGCUCUGGGCCGGUACUGACACUGAGGAGCGAAAGCGUGGGUAGCAAACAGGAUUAGAAACCCGUGUAGUCC
rnacentral:rRNA from 1 species